GGCCAUUUAUGAUGAUGAUUUCUACAAAUGGGAAUCUCUCUGAGAAAAACCAAAUGGAGACUGUUGUAUCUGAAAUGGUC